GAAUCCGGCAUUACGCUUUAAGGAGUAAAAAGUACCCUUUUUUUUGCUGGUAUAUGAAACUGUCAAGAUAAAGGGUACUUGUCAAAUUUUUAAAAUGGGUAAUUUUUGCCCUUCUUAGAAUUCCUACCGAGUACUCUUCAAAGAGUGAAAAUGUUGUUGAAGUUUUUCGAGGUGCAUCCAAGAGUGAUGUUUUUCAUUUUGCUGAUUUUUGCGGAAUGUCAGAGGCCGCGAGCAUGGUUCUGCUCGGUUCUGCCCUCCACCUGGAUCAAAGUUGGAUCUGCAGGCUUCCUCCAACCAGUUGCGGUAUAAAGGUCCGUGUUCCGACUUGCAAAACCCAUAGGAAUAAUGUUAGUAUUAUAAUUAAUAAAUAUUUCGCAUGAACAA